rnacentral:lncRNA from 1 species
AGAGCCACACUUUCCGCUUAAAACUGGAAGGAAGCGCCAGCGAUUUUACCGACCACCCAACAACUGCUUUCCAUAAAUAAAUAUUUUCGCCACCUUAACAUUAAAUAAACCUGCCAAGGAAACAACAACAAAAAAAGCCCUCAACUGCGCAUUCGGCGGCGUGGGCAUUUUCUAAGCGAUUUCCUACCCUGCAGCACGAUGGUGCCAUCCAAAUACAGCCAAAAGCAUCAAAAGGCGAGAAAAGGCUCCUGGUUAGCCGUGGGGCAGAAACUCAGUGCCGGCUGGCCUCAGGACACGGCGCCGGCGGCUGCCGCAGCAGGAGGCAGCGCAAGAAAAGCGAGAAAAGGGAAGCGUCAGCUCGGAGCAAAAGAAGCCCCAAAAGUCAAUCCUGGGCCGCCAUUUCUCAGGACUCCAGCCACAGAGGACAUGCUGGACUUAGCCUUCACCUUUUAAAGACACUGAUGGGACGUGUCUGAAGAGGUCCCCGACCCUCACUUUGAGGGCAAAAGAAAGAAACAGAGCAUCUUUCCCCUGCCUCGCUGCUCUCGGCCAAAAUCUGAGCCAAACUCCUACGAAAAGUGCAAAAACCCCUCCCGUUCUGUGGCGUAGUUUUUCUUUUGUUUUUCGCAGUAAGGGAAUUGCCGCUGUUUCGACUACAGGCAGAUGAACAGCAAGUACGCUGUGCCUUUGAAAGCCCAGACGUCGACCCACACAAGAUAUACAUAGUAGUAACAGCAAGGGUUUACACAUGUGUCGCAGCAAUGGCAAGAGUCAAGUGGAAGAGCACCAGCAUCCAGUCCGUGGCAGAGGAAACGAGGAACAGGAACGUGCGCUCAAAAUAGGUUUGCUUACAGAAACCAGGCAAGCAGAGCGGCACAGCUGGCUAGCUCAGCCCUUGCUUCCUUUCCCAGGCCUUCCCCGAGCAGGUCCGCGGCAGGGGUGCGGACCCAAGGAGACACACGUACGAGCCCAAUUAGCGCGCGGGAGCUUUUCUACACACCCGUGCAAAAUCCUCCCAGAGCAGACAAAUCACACGGCAGGCAGCUGCCUCGAUCUCCGCUCGGCCAGAGGCAGCCCGCUCCGGGCAGCGCGGCUGACGUCGGGGCGCCGCUGGAAGCUGCUUCCAGCUGAGCUGCGUGCCGCCGGGGAGCCCGGCCCCAUCAUCCGCGGAUACGCUGCCCCCGGCCUUUGCGUUAUCAGCAAAAGCCACCUCGGUCUAAUGGUGAGCGCAGCAACGCAGAAGAGCGGGAAGGGUUUUUUUUUGGGGGGGGUGAAGCCACCUGGGAAUUCAGCAGGGAAAAGGAGAGCGACCUCCCAGGGAGAGCAAACGCUCGAAUGCGCUGCGUUAAACCCCAUCGCUGCAGCCGUGCGCAGGACUCCCCUUUCAGGGAGCACGGCAGGGUUUCCGCCGGCGUUGACCAUUUACUGA